rnacentral:rRNA from 1 species
UACGAAGGGGGCUAGCGUUGUUCGGAUUUACUGGGCGUAAAGGGCGCGUAGGCGGCUUAACAAGUCACUUGUGAAAUCUCCGGGCUUAACUCGGAACGGCCAAGUGAAACUGUCAAGCUAGAGUGCAGAAGGGGCAAUCGGAAUUCUUGGUGUAGCGGUGAAAUGCGUAGAUAUCAAGAGGAACACCUGAGGUGAAGACGGGUUGCUGGGCUGACACUGACGCUGAGGCGCGAAAGCCAGGGGAGCAAACGGG